rnacentral:rRNA from 1 species
UACGUAGGGAGCAAGCGUUGUCCGGAAUCAUUGGGCGUAAAGCGCGCGUAGGUGGCCUCGUAAGUCCGCUGUGAAAGUCCAAGGCUCAACCUUGGAAAGCCGGUGGAUACUGUGAGGCUAGAGUACGGAAGAGGCGAGUGGAAUUCCUGGUGUAGCGGUGAAAUUCGUAGAUAUUAGGAAGAACACCAGUGGCGAAGGCGGCUCACUGGUCCGGUACUGACGCUGAGGUGCGAAAGCGUGGGGAGCAAACAGG